CCUCUAAGAAGUUCUGAGCUCA
rnacentral:miRNA from 1 species